CGAACGGGUGAGUAACACGUAGGUGAUCUACCUCGGGCCCGGGGAUAGCCUGUGGAAACACAGGGUAAUACCGGAUGUGAGCAUCUGUGUAAAGGCAGAUGGGGAAAGGAGCUUAGGCUCCGGCCUGAGAUGAGCCUGCGGUCCAUUAGCUAGUUGGUGAGGUAAAGGCCCACCAAGGCGACGAUGGAUAGCCGGCCUGAGAGGGUGAACGGCCACACUGGGACUGAGACACGGCCCAG
rnacentral:rRNA from 1 species